rnacentral:lncRNA from 1 species
AGGAUGAUUAGCCCGGGUUUUGACAUAAUAAUCAGUGAAUUUAUACCCAAAACGUUUGUCAAACUUCUUGAGAAUCUUCCGCAGCCCAAUGGCAUUUAUUUCAACGAAAAAGAGAAGCUUCAGAAGAUCACGUCCCACAUCUCUAUAAGCUUCUCGUAGCUCAGUUAUUUUGGAUAUAUCAGGCUGCUCAAAGAUCACGUCCAACAUCUCUAUAAGCUUCUCGUAGCUCAGUUAUUUUGGAUAUAUCAGGCUGCUCUUGAAGAGAAUCUUGCUGCUUAUUAAGUUCAGUUAUCCUGCUUGCCAGCACU